GGGCCAAAAUAAUUGAGUGGUCCUCAACUUCCAAUGAACUGAAAAUUGGACCUUCUAUGUUAACAAGUGUGUUAGCAGCACGCGUCAUGGGACCUACAGAGUGGCUUUUGAAUCACGAAAUUGAUGCUAUGAUGUACUUAUUCACUGAGAGGACUACUUUGCGACGAUGGGAACCAAGUAAAGUAGCAUUCAUGAGCUGCAUGUUCAGUAAUCAAAUGAAGACCUCUUUCGAAGAGUUUCGGAAGGACAAGAAGAAAUUCAAAGUAUCAGAACUGCUUCACCGGUACGGCAUUGGUGAACUUCCAGCACACGGACGAACAGGACUGAUGUGGGAUCUUGACGUUACACGUAUGUAUGUGCCUCUAAAUGUCGGUAAACACUAGAUCUCCAUGUGUGUCAACUUUGUUUCUCGGUCGAUAGAGGUCUUUGACUGUGAGGGAUUGAAACACAACAAGGAAGUGGAGCCAUUUGCCUUUCUCAUCCCUAGAAUUGUCAAAUCUGUUCCCUCUUCAAAGAGUCGGCAGCAACUCAAGGUCAAGCAAUAUAAUUUCAGUUACGCCCCAAUGCCCUACUUACUAAACAAGAGUAGCAGUGAUUGUGGAGUAUAUGCCUUGAAGCACAUUGAAUGUCAUCUUUUAGGCUUGGACUUCUCCCUCGUGAAUGACAACAACAUUCGAGAAACGCGCCAAAAGAUUGCUUACGACCUAUGGGAAGCUGCCAAUGAUCCUGAGCUUAUUUUGAGAAUGGCACAAUACACUCCUCCAAAGACGAUCACAAAUCCUCUAGUGGAACUUGAUUGAAGUUCUUUCGUUUAUGACUUGUUAAGGAAGUAGGCUGUUAUUGGCUCUCUUAUUUGACUCUUGUAUUUGAUUCUUGUAGUUACUCUUUAUUUUUUACUUUAUUUGAAACAUUUAGUUGCUCGAUUUAACUGUUGUGACAAUCUUUAUCAACCCCUAAUAUUCCCUAAAUGAGUGGUAUGCGAAGACAAUCCUUAUCAACCCCUAAAUAUUCCCUAUCUAUACCCUAUUUGACACUAAAGUAAGACAAACCAUUUGAAACCUUAUAUAUGCCCUAAAUGCCACUAAAGUAUGACAAACCAUUUGAACCCCUAUCUAUGCCCUAAAUGCUACUAAAGUAUGACAAACGAUGUAAACCCAAUGAAUCCACACAAACCUUAUAAAUCACAAAAAAAUCUUAAUAAUCAAGACAAAUCUUAAUAAUCAAAACACAUACAAGUUUACCCUAAAAUCCAACCCGAGUGGAAGAAACGUUUGACCUAAAAAAAUCUUAUAUAAUACCAUCAAAUGGUCUGAAACCCUACAUAUUUCAUCGUUUGUUUCUCCUACUUCUCGAAAAAAAACCUCUCGUUCCUUCUCAACAAAGAAUGACGAACAUGAAUCACAAUGAAGGAUCCAUUCCAGAUGCUGGUGUGGAAAGGGGAUUGUCACAUAUGUUUCAAAAAUAGAGGAGAACCCAUAUAGACGUUUCUUCAGAUGCGAGAUUGGUAUACAGGUAAAUCUGUAAUUACUUAUUCAUCAUUAUUCAAUAUGAUCAGAGAAUAAACAGAUGUGAGAUUGACUUGUUUUGU